GAAGGCUUCGUCUCCGGCGCCGGCCAAGGGGUCUUUCCGCGAGAUCUUCACGGAUCCGAACACCUCUCGUCAAGGAGAACACACGGGCACAGAAGGAGGGCAGAGAUCUUCACUUCUCCGAACCCUAGAAGGCUCUCUUUCGGCUGUAGGACCAAGAAUCCGAGAUACAGGAAAGGAAAAGAUAUAGAAAGGAAGGCGA